GUUGAUUUGCUUACCAUACAUACACACAAACACAAACCUAACAGCACCACAAAUCCCUACCGCCCUACUCUCCCUCAUCGAAGAACCAGUUGGCUGGUUGGAUUUUCGUGUACGUGUAUGACGUCUUCAAUGUUUGCUGCGAAUUUAAUUCAACACCGACUUCGAUACGAAACGGACGCGCGCGCGCUUAAUGCUGAAUUGACUGGCAUCGUAGUGAGAAACGUAGAAUAAAUGGAAUAGUAAAUAACUACAUUAAAAUACAUAAGUAUGUAUAUAUGUAUUUGAAACAUUCAAUCAAAUGAAUAAAAGUGCUUUUAUUGCGCAUUUCUAAUAAAACUUACACAAUCACGAACGUUUUUGCAAAACAAAAAAAUCAAGCUGAGGAAUUUUUUAGUAGCUGAACGACAAUUGAAACUCAUAUUCAUAUUUUAUUGUAAUUAGAG